rnacentral:rRNA from 1 species
CAGUAGCCGCGGUAAUACAGAGGGUGCGAGCGUUAAUCGGAUUUACUGGGCGUAAAGCGUGCGUAGGCGGCUUUUUAAGUCGGAUGUGAAAUCCCUGAGCUUAACUUAGGAAUUGCAUUCGAUACUGGGAAGCUAGAGUAUGGGAGAGGAUGGUAGAAUUCCAGGUGUAGCGGUGAAAUGCGUAGAGAUCUGGAGGAAUACCGAUGGCGAAGGCAGCCAUCUGGCCUAAUACUGACGCUGAGGUACGAAAGCAUGGGGAGCAAACAGGAUUAGAUACCCGCGUAGUCCCUGUCUCUUAUAC